AGCUUUGCGCAGUGGCAGUAUCGUAGCCAAUGAGGUUUAUCCGAGGUGCGAUUAUUGCUAAUUGGAAAGAGUGUAUCAGAAAAAGCCUAGUAGUAAAAGACAUUUGUGUUCCUCAUGUUUCUGA
rnacentral:snRNA from 1 species